CAAAAGGCUUAAUGGCACGCAUUGUAUUCAUAGUUCAGUGAGCAUAUGAAACUAGGAAAAAAGAUGCGUUAAUUAUGCGUAAAGUGAAUUGUUUGCAGCACGCUUGUCAUGGUGUUUGGGAACAGAAUUUAUGAAAUCACUCUCGUAUUUGGCUAGAAGAACUGACUCAGAAGUCUCAAGAUAAGUUCCUGUUAGCGAUCCUAAUCAGCCGCAAACUCACCUGAAAAUAGAAGAAACAAAAAAUUGUAUAAGUAACAAUUCUAGUAAGCAUUUUAAUUUAUUUAUUUUACUUUUUUUUAAAUAAAUUGGAAGAAUUGGUUAAUAUGGCGCGUGUCCAAUAUUAUGAUUUA